GUAUAAUCUGAGAUCGCACAUCGGAGGGAGAAGGAAAGGAGAACGAGAGUAAGUUCAUCUGAAACCCUAAAUCUUGUCGCCGCCAUAGUCACCACCAUUCAUCUCAUGUCUGCCGCUUCCAUCAACCUUCUGCGUUCAAGUGAAAGCGCCUCCUCUAUCGACGCAUUUCCAAAUCUGGUCACUAUGCUAUAGCUUAUGAGAUUGAGCAAAGCACCUCUUCCAUUAAUGUGUCUCCUCCGCCAGUGGCGCCGAAAAAAAUAAAAGAUUCAGAAGAUUUUUCACAUUGGAUAUGCUGAUAAGAUAUUUUGGAAUUAAAGCUAUGGCAGAAAAUAAAGGCAUGUAUGUAAGGAUACUGAAUGAACAUUUUCUAAAUUUAGGAAAUUCAAUGAAAUUAAAAAGAAAGAAAAAAAUGAAUUAUAGCAUGAGAUUUAGUAAUGGAACGAAGAAGUUUCAGCUUCUCGUGCAUUACUGUUGCUCUCUUUUGCUCUCUAGAAGCCAUGGGAAGAGUGUGUUGUUUCUGUUUCUUGUGUUUUGCUAUAUAUAUCAACUUCUGCAGAUCUCUAUCUGAAGCUAUUUAUAUAUAAUUAGAGAGCUAGGAACUUCCUAUAAGGAAGACCUCUCAUCAAACAACACUAUUUACUAUUUAUUUAUUUAUUG